AUGGCUCGAGACUUUGAUACAUACAUGAAGGGGUACCAGAGGUGCAAGCGCCCUUGGGAGUGUUCAGUUAAAGAUCUAGGCGUCAAGCAUAUCGAUUUCGAUAAAAAAAGCAUGAGGUUUUUUGAGGGCAAAUACACCAUGGGACCAAUCAUAUCUGACUGUCUCAUUGAGAAGUUCCUAAACAGAUCACAGUUUGAGUCCUAUUCUCUUUUGAGGAACUUUAGGCAUUCAAAUGUUGUGCCUGUCCAAAACUUCUAUGAUGUGUCAGGCUAUCCCAGGUUUGUAUUGUCUUGGGUGGACGGAAGCUUAACAGCAUGGAUGAAAAAGGAUGGCGCAGGCAUAAUGUUUAAAUCAAAUAUGAAGGGAAGCAUUCCAACAGGAGCACUACGACAGACCAUCCUUGACCUCUGUAGCGGACUUGAGCAUUUACUGGCUGAGCAAUUGUACCCUGCUGAGAUUGAUUUAAAAGACAUGUACGUGCGCCAAGUGGGCCACAAGGGAAUUGUCCAAAUCCUCAUUAAUAAAGUUGAGAGAUUGUCAGGUCUUGAUGCAACAAAAAGGAAGGCAAAGUUAUGGGCUGGUCUGAGAAAAGCUCUUCAUGAGAUAUAUAAGGAGGCUCCACGCGCUGUUAACCCUGUUGCAUUGAGGUUCAUCAACUAUGUUGGAGUGACAGACAGCACCCGACUACAGAGGUUCCCUGACAAAUGGGACUACAACAUGAAGGCAAGAAACUCCCAAUGGCAACCGUCUUCGGGCACCAUUUCAAGAGGCGUUUGA
rnacentral:rRNA from 1 species